AGAGAAACGAGCCAGCUUUAAAACCCUUUUAUAUUUACUGACGUUAUCUGUUCUGUGAGGGGGUUAGGUUCUCCAUUCUUUGGUAGUCCAUCAGAGUCUGUGUCAGAAAUGCACACACACCUUAUAGAUUUCACAGAGUCUGUGUCAGGAAUGCACACCUUAUAGAUUUCACAGAGUUUGUGUCAGGAAUGCACACACACCUUAUAGAUUUCACAGAGUCUGUGUCAGGAAUACACACACACCUUAUAGAUUUCACAGAGUUUGUGUCAGGAAUGCACACACACCUUAUAGAUUUCACAGAGUCUGUGUCAGGAAUACACACACACCUUAUAGAUUUCACAGGGUUUGUGUCAGGAAUGCACACACACCUUAUAGAUUUCAUAGGGUUUGUGUCAGGAAUACACACCUUAUAGAUUUCACAGAGUCUGUGUCAGGAAUACACACACACCUUAUAGAUUUCACAGAGUCUGUGUCAGGAAUACACACACACCUUAUAGAUUCCACUAUCCACCGUAGCUCUCUGGCGCUCCUUUCACUGACACAGUGGCUCAGACGUAGCAUCAAUGGCCCUGUCUCAUCACACAGUCCUCCCCACCUUUGUCUCAUCACCCUCUGUCCCAGCACACAGUCCUCUCACCCUCUGUCACAGCACACAGUCCCAUCACCCUCUGUCCCAGAGCAUAGACACAGGACAUUUGGCACAGAGGACAGAGAGCAUAGACACAGGACAUUUGACACAGAGGACAGAGAGCAUGGACACAGGACAUUUGACUGAGUAAAUUCUACCAGAUAAUCAUUUCAGUGGCUUCACAACAGUGCCACUUACAGGCAAAGACUGUACAACAGUGCCACCUACUGGCAAAGACAGAUUGUUUUGUCUUUGUUUCUGGGGUUUUGUGGACAGCCAGUCACUUAGUCAAUGUAAAGAAGCAAGAUGUAGUUCAUUGCCAUUUUCACAACUAAAAUAAUAGCACUCAACAUGUGCCCAAUGCCUAGACAAGGUGCCAACUCUAAAGUAUCAUUUAAAUGGAGCAAAAGCACAAAUUCAUUAUUGAUUUAUUUAUUGAUUUGAUUGCGUUUGAAGCUAAACAUGCGGUGAGCUUCACACAGAUUCAGGAAAAGGGCUCUCAAUAGCCAGUUAUGUACUACACCUUUAAAGAAGUAUAACUUCCCGUCCAAUGGGGAGAAGGCUGCUGCUUCGAUGGCCAAUGGGAGGUGAGCCCAGCGCUGUUGGAGGGGGGUGGGGGAACUCGCUGUACCCUCAGGGGUCACGGUCCAGAAGAGAUUCCCCCGAAACACCAGGACCGUGCGGUUCUGGUCUGAAGAACAAACUCACACAGACACACCACAGAGAGAGGGAGGUAUAGUAGGUGCUUUAUAUCAGAGA
rnacentral:lncRNA from 1 species